GAUGAACGCUGGCGGCGUGCCUAAUACAUGCAAGUCGAGCGAACGGACGAGAAGCUUGCUUCUCUGAUGUUAGCGGCGGACGGGUGAGUAACACGUGGAUAACCUACCUAUAAGACUGGGAUAACUUCGGGAAACCGGAUCUAAUACCGGAUAAUAUUUUGAACCGCAUGGUUCAAAAGUGAAAGACGGUCUUGCUGUCACUUAUAGAUGGAUCCGCGCUGCAUUAGCUAGUUGGUAAGGUAACGGCUUACCAAGGCAACGAUGCAUAGCCGACCUGAGAGGGUGAUCGGCCACACUGGAACUGAGACACGGUCCAGACUCCUACGGGAGGCAGCAGUAGGGAAUCUUCCGCAAUGGGCGAAAGCCUGACGGAGCAACGCCGCGCGAGUGAUGAAGGUCUUCGGAUCGUAAAACUCUGUUAUUAGGGAAGAACAUAUGUGUAAGUAACUGUGCACAUCUUGACGGUACCUAAUCAGAAAGCCACGGCUAACUACGUG
rnacentral:rRNA from 1 species